rnacentral:rRNA from 1 species
AUACGUAGGGGGCAAGCGUUAUCCGGAUUUACUGGGUGUAAAGGGAGCGUAGACGGUUUGGCAAGUCUGAUGUGAAAGCCCGGGGCUCAACCGCGGGACUGCAUUGGAAACUGUCAGACUUGAGUGCAGGAGAGGUAAGUGGAAUUCCUAGUGUAGCGGUGAAAUGCGUAGAUAUUAGGAGGAACACCGGUGGCGAAGGCGGCUGACUGGACGGGUACUGGCGUUGAGGCUCGAAAGCGUGGGGAGCAAACAGGAUUAGAUACCCGGGUAGUCCACGCCGUAAACGAUGAAUACUAGGUGUUGGGAGACAAUAGUUUCUCGGUGCCGCAGCAAACGCAAUAAGUAUUCCACCUGGGGAGUACGUUCGCAAGAAUGAAACUCAAAGGAAUUGACGGGG